rnacentral:tRNA from 1 species
GCCGCGGUGGUGGAAUGGUAGACACGAAGGCCUUAAGAGCCUUUGUCCGUAAGGACGUGAGAGUUCGAGUCUCUCUCGCGGUACAA